rnacentral:misc_RNA from 1 species
UACGUAGGUGGCAAGCGUUGUCCGGAAUUAUUGGGCGUAAGGCGCGCGCAGGCGGUCUUUUAAGUCUGAUGUGAAAGCCCACGGCUCAACCGUGGAGGGUCAUUGGAAACUGGCAGACUUGAGUGUAGGAGAGGAAAGUGGAAUUCCACAUGUAGCGGUGAAAUGCGUAGAUAUGUGGAGGAACACCAGUGGCGAAGGCGGCUCUCUGGUCUGUAACUGACGCUGAGGCGCGAAAGCGUGGGGAGCAAACAGG